rnacentral:tRNA from 7 species
UGGGGCGUCGACAAGUGGUAAGUCACAGGGUUUUGAUCCCUGCAUCCGUAGGUUCGAAUCCUACCGCCCCAACCA